rnacentral:lncRNA from 1 species
GUGAAAUCACGAUUUUGUUAUCUCAAAGAAACUUUUAGGUUUUUAUUUAAUAUUUAGGUAGGUUUAAUUAAAAUAUUAUUGUUUGGAUUAGGUUUGGAACAGUGGCACAACGAGGGGGGUUUGGGGGUUAAAAUCCCACCCAGAGCAUAUAGAAAUAUAUAUA